rfam:Ictidomys tridecemlineatus contig055226, whole genome shotgun sequence.
GGGGUUGUGGCUCAGCGGUAGAGCACUCGCCUCUCACCUGUGAGACCCUGAGUUCGAUCCUCAGCAACACAU